GGAUGGGCAUGGAUGUUAGCUCAGGGCCAGUCUUCCUCAGCAAAAAGAGGAGGAUUGGCAGCAGAUGUUAGCUUAGGACUAAUCUUCCUCAAAAAAAAAAAAAAAAUUUAUUUGGUGAGACAACAAAUGUUAGUAAUAAAGUAAUGUUUGGGCAGCUAUUUUCAAUAGAAAAACAAGGUUCCCUGGGAAAUGUAAAAUUAGAGACAGUUAUCACACUUUGCAUGGGCACAGAAUACUUAACAUCAGGCCAUCUUCGAACUGGUAGGAUAACGUGUGGUCACUGGCCUCAUCUUUCUACUGGUGGUUGGUCGUGUCUCAUCCGUUCUUUCCUCCAGCUCCAAUUCAUUGACUCAGGUGACUCAUUGAUAAAAUUAUUCAGCCGGGAAAUAUUAUUUGAGAACUAACACGCUACUAAGAGCUAUCGAUACAGUGGUAAGGAAUGCACACUGUCCUUGUGGAGGUUAUGGCACAGUGCAGGAGACAGAUAACGGUCAGGGAACCACACAAACCAUCAUAACUGUGGCAAUCGCUUGGAAGGAGAGAGAUGUAAUGCCACAGGAAUCUACAAUUUCUGUGUUUGAUUUAGUCAAAGAAGUCAGGAAAGACUUCUGGCAGUGGCCAAAAGAUGCAGAGGGGAGACAAGAACAUUCUAGACACAGGAAACAGCUUGUGCAAAGGCCCUGAGGCAAGAGGGAGGAUGGCAGUAUGAGUAAAUAAAAGAAGGCCAGGGGUGGCUGAAUUGCAGAGUUAGGGGCUUGUAGAAGAAGCAGCAGCUGGAGAGGCUGAUAGGAGCUGAAAACCACGUGAGACUUGAAGGCCAGGUUAAGGAGUUUGCAAUGCUUUCAAAGAGCAGUAGGAAGCUAACUAGGAUUGUAAACAGGUGUGUCUUGAUCAGAUCUGUAUUUUGGGGGGAAAAAAAAUCACUCUCAUUGUGUUUGGAUUGGAGAUGGGCCAGGUUGAUGUAUUAGUUUUGUAUUUCUGCUGAAGCAAGUUACCGCAAUGAAGCAGUUUAACACAAUAUUGGAGUUUUUGUAGGUCAGCGGCCUGGGCACAGCUGGGUUCUCCUUUAGGAUCUCCCGGGGUAGAAAUACAGGCAUCAGCUGGGCUGAGGGCCUCCUCUCAAGUUCGGGGGUUGUUGGCAGAAUUCAUUUCCUCCUCCAGCUGUCCACGCAGCCCCUCCCAUCUUCAGGUCAGUAAUGCCACCAGGUCGAGUCCUUCUCACGCUUCCAGUGUCUCCAUCUUCUGUGCUGCCUCUGUCCUGCUUCCUCUUCUGCCCUCAGCCCACAGACAGUUCUGCUGCUGAGGGCUCCUGCGGUUACACUGGGUGCACCCGGACCAUCCAGGACACUCUCCCCGUUUUAAAGUCAAACUUAUGAAUAACCUUCAUUACAUCCACAAAGGCCUUUAUGCCAUGUAAGGUCUCCUAAGAAUGCUCUUUCAUGAAGUUUUACACAGAAGACAUUCCAAAAGUGUGCACCAGCCCUACCCCAAAUGUAAAAUAGACCCCCUGAGAACAGGAACUUUUCAGUUGUGUUCACAGCUAUAUCCUAGUGCCCGGGACAGAGGUUGACAUGGAGUAGUUGCUAAAUACGUAUUUGUUGAAUGAAUGAAAGGAGUGCCAGCUGGGUGCGAGAUUCUGUAUCAGAUGCUGGAGAUGUGGUGAUCAUGAUAAGGUCCUAUUAAGAUGACACAAUAUCCUGGGAAUGAUAAUGACUGCUUUAAAUAGGGAAGUCAGAGAAGGCUCUUGAGGAGGAGACACCAGCUGCAGAGGCUGCAGUGAGGGCAUUUCAACAGAGCAUGUGCAAAAGUCCUGAGAUCUGCUGGUUCUACUUUUUCUAUUGUCGCAAAUGCUCAGAGUAUUCUCGUGGUCCCUCUGUCCCACAGCACACAAGGACACCUCACUUCAUCGUGUCCAGAGGCAGCAUAUCAUCUCUGGGAAGCCAGAGUCGCCCGUGCAUGCUCCAUCUCCUCUCUCUCUGUGACUUCUGCCUCUCUUUCUGUCACGCUGUGCAGCUUAUCUUCCCACCCCAGCUACACUGCCAGCAACCCCUUCUCCCUCCUGAGGGAGGCACAGUGAAGUGCUCUGUGGACUACAACCUGGGAGGAGCCUCAAACAGCGGAGGAAGUUUCUGUGGCCCAGGAGGCUGGGUCAGGAAAUGGGUGGCUGUAACUGUAGGGAUGGGCACAGUUCACUGACGAGCCUGAGACUCAGUUCAACAAGCUGGCACUGAGCUCCUGCUGUGGGGGUUCUGGGCCACUCGCUUGCAUCUUCCUAACACACGUCUGGGUGUUUGAGAAUGUGAGCUCUGAAUGUGGAUGCAAAUGCAUGGCUAUCUACGUCCAAAAGAAGAAUGGAGUAGAGAAUCAUGCUCUCAAAGGCAAACUGAGACAAACUUCGCAAAUUGCAAUUAAAGACGAACUGAGAUGUUACCAAGUUGCUACUUAGAAACUAUACAAAAUAUGCAAAUAUAUUUUCUUUAUAGAAUUAAGCUACCCAAGAACCAGACUCAAAAACAUUAAUUGAGCACCUAUUAUAUGCCAAGUCCUCUGCUUGGAAAACGGAUUUAAUUCUUACAGUGGUCCUUUGCAGUAUGUCUAAUUUUCCCCAUUUUACGGGUAACGGGCAAGAGAGCAGCCUGAUGCACUGGUCACGUCCUACAGACCGGCAGAGCAGGGGCGGGCACGCAGGUCUUCUGACCAUGGAUCCUGGGUCAUCUCCUGAGACACCAACCACCUGCUCAGCAUCAUGACAGCACAUUGGGAGGCAGCCUGGGGAGAGUCGAGAGCAGCGAUGGCUACGCCCGAUUGAGUGUGAGUGAGAAUCUCAGCGUUACUCUUUCUAGCUGGGUGAGCUUGGGCCAGUAACUUGACUUUCAUAAGCCUCAGUCUUCUGAUCUCUACAAUUGGAAUAAUAAAACCCAUGUUGCAGGGUUGUUUAAGGACUGAAUGAGCUUCUUCCAACAAGCAUCCCUCAUCAUGCCUGGUACACGGCACUCAAUAGAUGGGAGUUACGUAUCCUGUCAAAGGAGAGAAGUUAGCCCUCAGGGUGCUCUUUUUAAGCUUGUUCACAUCCACCAGCUCCUUGUAUUCUCUAGCAAAUGGAGCUAGCUGGUGGAGGGCAGGGCUCCAACCUAACGCUGUCUCCAAGAUGGUGCUCCUCGCUCCCCAGCCCUCUCCACCCAGAGUGAGCAACCCAAUCAUCCUCAUUAAAGCAGGGGCUUCCCACUGCCCAGCCUCACGUCUGCAGCCGGGAGCAGAAGAGUCAGAGGGACAUGAGUGGCCAUCAGCAGUUAACAUUCAAUGUCUCAGGACAUAUCCACCACCCGAAGUCUCUUGUCACAUUCUCUCCCUGAGGUUUCCAACAACUGAAGAGACUCACAUUGGAAUCAAAAUGCUGCCUUUUUAACAUAAUGACUGCCCCCUUGUACCUUCAGAUGCCUGAGCGGGAUGAUUUACAUAAAUGCCCUGCGCACUGUGUCAGAACAUUUAGAUAUGAGCGUCUGAAUCGGGCUCUUAUUAAGAAGAAAUUCGUUCCUAAUGUAAUUUAAUUUUUUUGUAUACUUACCCCAUCAAAUACCCUGCCUAAUAAAUUAUGUAAAAAAAGUUAAAAAU
rnacentral:lncRNA from 1 species